CUUCCAUGGCUACACUAGCCACACUUUAACUGCUCUGUAGCCCCAUGUGGCUAGUGUUUACUCUGUAAAAUAGCACAAAUAUAAGACAUUUCCAUCAUUGCAGAAAGUUCUAUUGACAGCACUAUUUUCUAGAGCAUGAUUUUCAAACUGUUUUCUACAGACUACCUAUUAAAUCAGAAUCUGUAGGAAUAGAGGACUAGAAAUUUGCAUUUUGAACAAAUGCCUCAGGGUAUUUUUAUGCUUGCUGAAGUUAGAGGAACUUCUGCCGGGAUCCAAAAUCUAAUGUCCAGAGGUAAGUGUAAUGUGGGAAUAGGCAAAUGUCAGAGACAGACAGGGACCCAUCAGCUUAACUACCUUGCUUGCCAGCCAUGAAAAUCAUACCUCGUUGCCUCAGGUGCAGCUUGUGGAGCUGAUCUCUGACACCAGAGCUUCAUAGCAUGGAAGAGGUACAAGCCCUUAAGCCAGUGGCAUUCUAAAGAUGUGUGGCUGGUCCUAGGUGUAUUCUCUGGUCCCACAUGCCUUCUGGUUUCUACGUGCUAAUAGAGGUGAGAACCAGGGCCUGCAUUCAGUUUCAGGGAUGAAUCCCAAUCCCAGAAGGAGCAAUCAAGAAAUAUCUGUCUUCUUCUUCACACUAUUUGGAUCUCCCUCUCCUUCCCAGGAGCAUAUUUUGGCAAGAUCCUUUUUUUUUGAUACUGGGGAUUAAACCCCAGGGCUCAACAACCGAGCCACAUCCCAAGCCCUAAAAAAUUUUGUAUUUUAUUUAGAGACAGGGUCUCACUGAGUUUCUUAGUGUGCCUCACUUUUGCUGAGGCUGGCUUUGAACUUGCUAUCUUCCUGCCUCAGCCUCCCGAACCACUGGGCUCACAGGUGUGCACCACUGUGUCCAGCAAGAUCCUAUUAUUUUUUGAUCAUCUUUCAGAUAUAAAAAAUGAGUUCUAUUGAGAGGAUUAAAAAACUCAGUUCAAUCUUAAAUCAAAUUUUUGUUUGUUUCUUCUGCGUCCCUUACCCUCCAACUCAUCAGUGGGGAGGGGUCUCCAUAUAUUAUUUCAUUUUCUUCCAUCCACCUCCUUUCUUCUGGUUCUGAAGGUUCUGACAGUCAAGGAAAGUAGCAUAGCUGGCUUGAAUCAGUCACCUGACCUCAGACCUCGUUUACCAUAUACCCAGCUGAUUUUCAUAGAGCUGCUUUGUGGGUUUUUGGGAGAACCUCUGCUGGGACUGCAUGUACUGCACUAUGCUUGAGCUGACCUCUAGUUCCCACUCAGUGCCUGCUCUCUAGAUGCACACCCCUAAGAUUCCCCGGCUCCAGCUGGCAGCCCCCUUGGCCAAGGAAGGCUUGAGUCUAAUUUCUAAUUGAGACUGCCACUUUGUUAAAUAGGUAUCUGGUUAUAUGCAUGGUCCAUCAAAGUACAAGUGUCACUAGCUCGUAGACUACCCACAGGAUGCAGUGGAUUAGUUAAGAUCACAUAUUGAUAAAGAAUAGGAUGGGGGUGCUGGGGUUGUGGUUCAGUGGUAGAGUGCUUGCCUAGCACUUGGGAGGCCCUGGGUUCAAUCCUCAGCACCACAUAAAAAUAAUUAAAGAUAUUGUAUCCAUCUACAACUAAAAAAUAUUAAAAAAAAAGAAGAGGAUGGGAUGGAGGCAAGUUGAAAACGAACCAUAAACAUUUUCCCCAACAUCCAUCUGGGUGCAUAAAUGAAGUGGAAGACUUUGGUUGCUGACUUAUUUUCACUGGCUCGGAAUUGCUUUAUCUAGGGGGAUAAGUGUUUUCUCAAGAGGAAGCUCUGCCACAGUUGGUACCUCUGAGGGUUGCAUAUGUAGCAGGUUUAAUGAGUGCUUUCUAUGUAAUAGGAGCACUAAAUAUCACUCUUUCUCCUCCAAGUUCAGAACCAUCUGAGAGACAGACAUGGAGUCAAAUGUGGUAGGUCAGAAGAUCAAUUUGGUUAAUGGAUUGGUGGAUUUAGCUGAGUUGUGCAGUCUUCUUAUAGGAGACUCCUUCGUCAUACACACCCAUUUUCUAGCUAGUCAGGGACACAACUGGCCAGAUACCUGCUGGCCCUCCUGCGAGGGGUAGUAGAACAGGACAUGGCAGAGAAUUUUCUUCCUGUGGACAGUCACAUCCAAAUGAAACAAACUAGAGCAAGCAUAUCCCACAAGCUUGGUUUCUUCUGCAAAACUUACAGGCUGGGGUGGGGAGGUGUGAGGGAAGGCGGAGAGAGAGGACAGGAGUGUUAUUCUGGCUAAAGUCCUUCCAUGUGAGCACAUGGUUGUGGGCAUGCAGAACAACUACUUUGCAUACAUCUGCAUAUAUUAGCAUAUCCCAUUUUUGUAACACUGGUAUCACUACCCAUUUUAUAGAAAACCAAGGCUAAGAUGAUAUUCCACAUGCGUGGUAAAUCAGGGUCUGAACCAAGUCUGAUUUUAAGUCCGUGUUCUUUCACUACCUUGUAUCCUGCACCUCAUUUGGAGUGCUGGGAAGGGAGGGCUUCUGUUUUUCUUCUGAAACCCUCUUAUGGGCUCUUUUAUAUCCUGGGGCCACCAGGUCAACUUGAACCUUGUAACUUGAGUUCCUUAAAGCACCUGAGCCCACAAAAUCUUUAGCGAGUCUGUGGCAGAUCUGAAGAGGCCCAUGAUGGGAAGGCUGGGAGAACUCCCUGUGGAGUUGGGCUUUGGUUUCCCAUUCAGGACCUAUGUCUGCUUGCCACGCUGUCCUCACAAGGCCAAAGAGGCUGCCAUGGAGAUCUCACCAGGCCUCAUAUCAGGGUGAUUGGUAGUUGCUUUAGCUCAGUCCUUGGUCAGGUCUGCAGGAAUUAUCAAUGAGACACUGGGCCAGCCUGGACUUCUCUCUUAGCUCAGGAAUGCCCUUUAAUUAUAAUUCUCUGUGGUUACAAAGAUGCAUGUAGUCUCUAGCUGGUUAGUCUAUUCUGUUGGGCUCUGAUUCCUUCCCUAAACCUGGGUUUCCUAUUGAUCUUAUAAGCCUUUCUGACACUCUGCACGUGGUUAUGCGCUUGCUUUUCAGUCUCUGCAGAUGGUUGAACUACUGUACAUCCCCAUUCUCCUCCUCUUUCCCUUUACUCUUUCUCUUUCCUUCUCUCUCCUUACUCCCUCAUCUUUCUUUUCUACCUGUUUUCCUCUCUUUUUCUUUCUCUCCCUCUUUGCCUCCCAUUAGCCUUGAACCUCAAGGGGGGAUAGGACUAUCUUCAAAGAAAGAAUCUUUGUCACAGGAUUAUCAGAUUCCAAAAUGUAAUCUAGUAGAAGGCAGCACUGUAGGAACAUUCUGCAAGGAGCUAAGGGACUGUAAAGCAUUCCUGGAUAUCACAGAAAUCUCUUGAGGAUGCUGGGCAAAAGGACAGCUGCUACAGAAGUGAAGGUGGGCUUCAACCCCCUUCCUCUAGCAAGAGGCAAGGUACCAAAGGGAGAGGGGAAGGGUUUUAUGCCUCAUUUUAUUCUCUUUGACAAUUUGCCUAGUCAGUUCUGCCUGUAUUAUUGUCACCUCUAAGAACAUUUUUUCCCUACCAUUUAAUCCAUCAGUCUUUUAUUAAAGCUUAGAUAAAAAAAAAAAAUCCCUUCAACACCCAGCCACUAGAAGGGAAAUUUCAGAGAAUGAGAUGAUCAGAUUUCCAAGUUUAUUGAAAAACCUAUAGAUAACUGCAUGACUGCUCAUGCUGUUUUAUAAAACAAGUGCAGCUAGGUGAGCCAUUUAAUAAUGUUGGAACUGUCGGCUGUGUGGGUAGUGGAGAGGAGAGCACCCCUCCGGCAGGUGUUGGCUCUGGCAGCAAUGAACACUGCGGCACACUGCACUGCAGCACAGGGUCACCCUGCAGGCUGAGCCACACUGCUUCUUAGGAACCAUCCACAGCACGGCCUGUUAUCUGGCAGACAGAGUGCCCAGGUCUUUCCAAGCACAGUAGAACCCAAACAUAUCCCUCUAUGUCAACCACAUUCUGGGGCUUUUGAAGGUGUUUAAUCCUUACCACAAUCCUGAGAUAGACAUCAUUGCCUCUGUUUGCCAGAUGGAAAAAUUGGAGGCUGCAGGAGGGAAGGAACCUAUGUAAAAUUAUAGAAUGGAGUGGUAGAGCCAGGGAAAUAACCCAGGUUUUCCCAUUCCUGUGCCUUUUUUGUUUUACCCUGUCACCAAAAACAGUCUAUAGAGCAGGGAGUGUUAAAGAAACCGUCCUUUGGCAUGCAGGGUAAGUAUAUUAGAGCUGGUGGGUGGGUAGAGAUAGGAGAGUAAUGCAGAGGUAGUAGAACCCUGAAGUUAUAGAUAUACUCUGAAAUCAAGAUUUAUGCUUUCAGAUCCCACUAUUCAAUAAGUUAAUUUCUCGGUGCCUCUUUAUAAAAUGAGGACUGAUAAUAGUAUCUGCAUCAUAGGUUUGUGGUAAAGGUUAAAAGAGAUAAUAAAGUAUGUAAUACUGUGUCUAGCAUAUGAUAGGUUGGAUAAAUGAUGUAGCCUUAGGCUCAAUUUUAGAAUCAAAGGAAAUCUGAAAAAGGGCCUCAUGUAGGGUCUGUCUUGUAGAGGUCAUCAGGUAUUUUCAAUUCCUUUCUGCCAUCUUAUAAGUAUACUUUGCUUGCCUGCCCUGCUUACUAUGGUCUGGGAUGCCUGCAGUUACCUCAUCAGAAGGGCUGCUAUUCAGAGUUGACCCCUGAUUGCCAAUGUGCCCUUUGUGGUCUUGCCACAACUCAUAGUAUCACCUUGGGUGACUUCAGACUUGCUUGGCUGGGCCUCAGUUUCCUUAGUUAUAAGGGGAUAUAGACAGAACUAAGUUUGAAGAAGCAGGGUGUGUGAAUUUCUACAUCAGAAUUACCUGGAUGGAUUGUUGAAAAUUCUGAUUCAUGGGCCUUGCCUCUAGUUGACCAAAAUCAGAAUCUAUAGCAGUGCUUGCUAUGGUUCAAAUAUGGUUUGUUCCCUCUGAAACUCAUAUUGGAAUUUAAUCCCCAUUGUGAGGUAUUAAAAGGUUGGAAACUUAAUCUGACUGUGGUAUGCAGAGGUAGGGCCUUUGGGAGAUAAUUAGAAUUAUAUAAAGUCAUGGGGCGGGGAGGGCUAUGACUGAAUAUAAGGAGGGAGAAAGACUAGAAGACACAGACAUACUCACAUACUCACCCCACAUUCACACUCUGUCUUUUACAAUGUAAUGUCCUGAGGCAUUAGAAGACAGUCACCAGAUGUGGCCCCUCAACCUUGGACCUGAACCAGGAGCCAAAAUAAACCUUCUCUUUAUAACUUACUGUGGGAUUGUGUUAUUAGGAACAGAAAAUGGGCUAAUACAGUGCUCUAGGAUGUACAUUUGUAAAAAGCACCCUCCCCAUGCUUCAUGCCCUGGCCCAACUCUCAGAGAAUCUGGUAUAAUUGGCCAUUAAUAAAUAAUGAAAGCAAAUUAAAUAAUAAAAGCAAAUUAAAUAAUAAGUCAAUUUAGAAAAUUGAUUUAGUUCUUUACUUUGGUUUUAAGAUUUUCCUGUUUAUUUAUUUUUGUAGCAGUUUUGCUACAUGUGUGUAACUGUGGUUCUAUGUAUUUAUUCUGUUUAGGGUUCAUAACACUUCUAGAAUAUAUGGUUUGUGGUCUUUUGCCAGGUUUGGAAAAUUCUUGGUCAUUAUCUCUGUAAAAGUUAUUUCUGCUCCAUUUGCUCUUUCCUCUGUAGGACCCCAAUUACAUGUGUGUUGGACCUGUUCACCAUGUCCUAUUAGAUCUUGUACACUCCCCUUUCAUUCCCCUAGUACUUUCCAUUUUGUUCCUCCAUUCUUUCAGUCUAAAUAUUCUCUAUUACAUAUUUUUGAAUUCCCUAAUCUUUUCUUCAGCUUUGCCUACCCACCUGUUGAGUUCCUAGCUUAAUUAUUAUAUAUUUCAGAACAGAACUUUCAUUUGAUUUUUAAAAUGGACUUUAAUUCUUUGUUAAAAUUCAAUUUUUAGAAAUGUUGAUUACACUGAUCUUGUGUUAUAAUUUCAGUGUCAGGAUUUCUUUGUAUUUCUGUGUUUAUUAUCUUCUUCUUGGUUUCUGGCCUUUUCCCAGUAUGCUUUGUAAUUUUUUUAUUUAAAUUUUUUUUGUUGUUGUAUAUUAUGUCAGUUGUAUGUGAAAAUUUGGAGAGAGAAUUUGAGGCUCUGGAUAGUGCAUUUUUUCUCCUGAGAAGAUCUGCUAUUGCUUUUGGAAGUUAGGGUCAGGGCAGAUUGUCAUAAUCCCGUCUGGGAUGGAGCAGAUGGGAAGCCAGGCUUUUGUUUUCGUAAAUCCUGGUGUGUUCCUGAUUUGUCCUCCUUUCUGGGACUCAGUAGUUCUUUCUGAAAGUUUGGGGUGUAUACCAAGUGCCUCCUUCUUGGUGAGCCCUAAACUCUCAUUUUUGCUCCCCCAGGGUAGGUAGGUAGGACUAUCGAAACUCAGCUUCCUAGCUGCUUGACUGGUGGUUUCUAUUUCAUUUCUUCUCUUGGCUUCUUCGCUGAUCAAAAAUACAACUUCUUAGCUUUUAGUUUUUUUCUUGAGCAUCAGCAAAUGUUUCAAGGCAAAAAGCUGUGCCAAACAUUAGGCUCAUUUCUGUGCCUCCAUUCUCUUUGAGAUCUUGGUGCCUUUAGAUCUCACCACAUGUGAUAGCUCUCUGAUGCUUUCAGAUGGAAUUUGUUUUUUAAAAAAUAUUUUUUUUUUAGCAUUUCUAUUUGUUCUUGGCAGAAGAAUUGAUCUCAAUAAAUUAGUCUGUCACAGGCAGAAAUGGAAUUUCCUGAUAUUGUUUUUUUUAAUCUCUUCAAGUGAUUUUAAAAUGAGAUGUACUGGACGAAAUCAGCUCCUUCCCACAUCAUAAGAAGGUCUCAUCACCUAAGACCCAUGUUUAAUAAUGUUGGUUUCCUGGUCCUACUUCAGAUACAUUGAACCACAAUUUUAUAAAAAAAAAGACUUGUGGGGCUGUGGUUGUGGCUCAGUGGUGGAGCACCUGCCUUGUACAUGUGAUGCACUGGGUUCAAACUACAUAAAAAUAAAUAAAUAAACAUAUUGUAUCCUUCUACAACUAAAAAGUUAUUUAAAAAAAAAAAGACUUGUAAUUUGUAGUUCUAGCAAGUGCUUCUAACAAAGGCACACUUGGGAAGCACUGAGCAAGUGGUUCAUCAGGGUUCUCCUUGCUCUAGUUGCCUAUGGAUAUUCCAGUACCCCAGUGAGUCCCCUUACCCAAGGGACUCUGCAUAUAUUGGCAGGAAAGAGUCUGGUUGUUCUGUGUGCAGGGAAGGAAGCAUGAUACUUGUACCAAUAUCUCUAGAUUUAUUUUGUAUUCUGCAACUCCAUGAGAGGUAGCUCCUCUGCUGAAUUAUUUUUAAUUUCGUCUAUAGACAUUUUAAUCAGAGAUGAAAAAUGGUUGGUAUUUUGCCAAGAGUUCAGUCUAAGAGGAGGUUAUUUGCCUUUUAGAGAUACAUUAAUUUGCACUGACUUUUGUGUAGAAGGCAGAAGCUUGUAAUAGAAAAGAACCUGGAAUUGAGAGAUCAAGGAUGACUCUAGGAUUCUUUGGUAGCCCAGGAGUUGGAGGAAUUACAUGCCACCUCUCUUCCCCCUUCCACUAAUAGAAGUUUUGUUUUUGAGCUUCAAUAUAUAUCUGCUUGUCAUCCUCCAACUUAGGCUUCAUCUCAUCUACCAGUGGUAGUAGGACUACAGUUCAGUUCAAGAUGUCACCCUACCCAAGUCCUCUUCCUACUCCCUAUCCCAGAGUCAGUAGUCCCUUUUAUGUACCUUUCCUCUGCUACUUCCUGCCCACAGCUGUCCCUAGGAUAGUUUCUUAGCACAGGUGCUCAGACCGGAGGGCACAUCGAGCCACCUAGCAAGAUGGUUUUCCUUAGUUCUCUCUGACUUCUGAGGACGCAUUUCACUUUGGAGUUCUCUGAUUGUCUAGAUUCAUGGGCUUCUCAGGAAGUGCUACACAAAUCAAUAAGAAAAUAAUAAAAUAUGCCCAAUUAAAAAAGGGCAAAGGACAUGAAUAGAUAAUUCAUGAAAGAAGACAUACAAGUAGGCAUAAAUAUAUGAGAAAUAUUUCAAGCUUCAUCAAAGAAAUGCAAAUUCAAACCAAGUGAGUGGUAAAAAAUAAUCAGAACAAUAGUGUUGAGUUUUGACUAUGGAACAGGGAGAUAGACACUCAUAUUCUGUUGUAUGAAUAUAAAUUUUGGCUUUUUGGAGAAAAAAAUACCAAAAUGCAACAAAAAUUUAUUGUAACUUUCCAUGACCUUUGACCCUGUAAUUCUAUUUUCAGGAAUUUAUCCCAAUGAAAUAAUAUAAGCUAUUUGCAGAGUUUUACACAAAGAUGUUCAGCAUAGGCCUGUUUUAAUAGAGAUAACUAUUGCUCUCUAAUAAAAUGCAGUCAUGACAAUAGGAGAUUGGUCCACAAACCAAUUGUAUACCGUGUUGCCAUCAAAAACAUCAACAAAUAUUUAAAGAGGAGGAAUGUUUGCACUCCAAGAUUUUGUUUUUGUUUUUUUAAAAUAGGCUACAGAGCAGUAUAUCACAAUAAUUUCUUAAUGCGGGGGAAAAACAACAUUCAAAAAAAUCAACGGAAGAAUAUAUGCCAAAAUGUUAACAUGGUAACUGUCUUAUUAUAUAUAUAAAUGUGAAUAUUAAAAAAGAUAAAAAGAAAACAAGAAUACUGAUCACUAGCAUGUAGAAAGACUGGCCUGCUUCAGAGUCCUAAAUUUGCCUGCUUUGUAGUCCUAAAUUUGUUCUCUGUGAGUCCUGGACUGAUUGAUUGCCUUGGCUCUUUGAGAGGUGGUGUCCUCAUCUGUAAGACAGAAGUUGUUCUUGCCUUAUUUAAUAACGUUCAUAUCUGUUCAGUGCUUUACUGGUCACUUUUCUAACCAUUGUUUUAUUUUGUCCUCACAACUGUACCUUGGAGAUUAGCACUUUGUAGAUUGUUGGCUAUUUUCUCACAUUAUUUUUGUUGAUAGUGAGGCAAAGGAAAACUUCCUAAGGGCCAUUGGAGAAGAAAGAAUUAAAGGAACCAGUAUGGCGUGGCUAAUGAUCUGGCAUAUGGCUGAGUUAGAGCUGGGCAGGUGGUCCACAAGGUUGGGUCUGAAGUCAGUAAUUGAGGAUGGGAAUUUUGGUAGCAGGCCAAGGCCAGCACUGAAACAGGCCUAAAAGAAGUGUUUGAAAAGCCUAAAGCAGCAACUGAAAGAAUUCUUGGAGGGCAUAUCCUAGGAGUGGUGGCUUCCAGCUCAGAGUCCUGGUGGUUGGAUUCUAGGACUUGGAGGCUCCAAGAAAAAAGCAAGAGUCAUUCCAGUUGGGCAAAGGAGACACUUGGAUUUUUUUUUUUUUCCUAAUCUCAAGACUGGAAGCAGAUGUGACAGGCAUUAUAAAGAGCCCAGAAACAAAGAUUGGGCCCAUGCAGACUUGUAUGCAAGUUGCAAGUCUGCAUUUAUGCAAAACAGGCAGUGAUGAAGAAUGUGUGAUAGAUGAACCAAUCUAGAGAUAACCUGGAAAAAUGAGCUCAUUAAAUAAAAACUCAAGCAUUUUACUUCCUGUUCAUUAACAAGUCGAAGCCUUAUCUCCCUUAUCUCAGAGCUCCCUAGGUGAUAAUAUGAGUCCUCACUGACAUGGUAUAUCUUCUCCAUAAAUAGGUUUUCCUCUAACAAAAAAACAGUUUGCCUGCCACAGGGCUGUGUUGUGUAUGUGUAUGUGUUUUUUACUCUUGGUGUGCCCUGCACUGAACUUCUUGGUUUAUGGAAGAGGCUCAAUAUGAAACUGCAGAUUGACUCUUUUAUCGCAAUCCUUUUAAUUACUGUGCGUACCCAAUUUUAUUAUCCAAUUAUGGGUAAGAUUAAAGUUCAUCAAACUACUUGUUUUA
rnacentral:lncRNA from 1 species